rnacentral:rRNA from 1 species
UACGGAAGGCAGCAGUGGGGAAUAUUGCACAAUGGGCGAAAGCCUGAUGCAGCUAUGCCGCGUGUAUGAAGAAGGCCUUAGGGUUGUAAAGUACUUUCAUCGGGGAGGAAAAAACAAAACUAAUAAUUUUAUUUCUUGACGUUACCCGAAAAAGAAGCACCGGCUAACUCCGUGCCAGCAGCCGCGGUAAUACGGAGGGUGCUAGCGUUAAUCAGAAUUACUGGGCGUAAAGAGCACGUAGGUGGUUUUUUUAAGUCAGAUGUGAAAUCCCUGGGCUUAACCUAGGAACUGCAUUUUGAAACUGAAAUACUAGAGUAUCGUAGAGGGAGGUAGAAUUCUAGGUGUAGCGGUGAAAUGCGUAGAUAUCUGGAGGAAUACCUGUGGCGAAAGCGGCCUCCUAAACGAAUACUGACACUGAGGUGCGAAAGCGUGGGGAGCAAACAGGGAUUAGAU